GUGACCAUAAAGACAGUUUAUUACAUUUUUCCUUUGUAUGUUUAUCUCAAUUGUAUUAAUCUUUUCAAUCUAAUAACAGACCUGUGUAUUUACAGGGACACGUAAAAUAGCCUAUACAAGAUUUAUAUAUUUCAUAAACGUUAAUCUAAAGUGGUGUAGGCUAACGGUUAAAAAGUGUGAAAGAGUCAGUGUACAAAAAUCCUACAAAUGCCAAUUUCUCUCAGUGAAACCUCGAUUUUUCUGAGCCUCGAAAACAGUCUGUUAAGACACUUUUGGACUAUAAGGGUGUCAUCAGGAAUGGCCUGAAAUCUCUUUCAUUCUCCGCGAAGUCAUUUGACUACAUAUCCACGCUAUGUUAACGUUAAACUUGCUAUAUCAGCCUACUUAAUCCAGAAGACCCCUCGAUGACAAAAACUAAAUAAUGCUUAUAAUUCAAUGCAAAAUAACAUAUCAUGAAAAUAAAUUAAGAUUUGAAGAUAACUGUCAGAAUUCAUUACCCAUACAUAAUAGUUUUAUAUUAAACAGGGUUUAUAUUUUAACUCAGGACUUUAUGGUGAGUCAUUGAUAUAUUUAUAGGAGCUGUGGGAAAGUUUGAAAUCCUUUUCUCAAUAGGUUUUACAUAUGCAUAAGUAUGGUAAUCGCGAUCCUGCUGUGUUGCAAACAGUCGCAGCAGAUCAUACAUGUGCUGCACAACUUCGGACCGUACGAAGUCGCCAAGACGAGGACAUGCAGAGUCCAAGGCUGAAGGAAAGCGUGACCAUCACUUACCCACUGGAAUCGAGCAGGAGGAAACUGUUAUCAAAUGAUUAACCAAAAUGAAUGAUGAUUCUGAGGAAGUGCGUUGCUCUUUGAAGUGAGGAAGGAAGGUUGAGAGAGCUCUCUCUCCAGCACAUGCCUCCCUCAUUAGUGUCCAGCAGCCGAAGACGCGAGGUCACAAACCUAAUGAGCUGCCCAUUUCAUUCAGCUUUGCUGACAUGGAAAGAUGACCACAGUGACCUAAUGUUGCAGGACGGUCUGACAGCACAUUGUACACAUAUAAAGUAGCCUGAGUAACCCUUGAACCUUGGGUGGAGUGCAUUAUUUUGUAUGAAACUGCUAUAUUGUCCAACUUUUCAACAUGCUUGUAGAUUUUAUUCAUUCAAUAAAUUGUGCAUUUUUCAAAAAAAAAAAAAAAGGGAACAGGUCUUGUGAUUUAUUUGCUGAACCGGCGUGGGUAAUGAAAUAUUUAAUAUCCUGUGUAUUAAAAUGAUCAGUCUCGAAUCCAUUGACAUGGUUGAAUCAGUACUACACUAAGGGACUUCUGCACAGGGAGUUAUUGCUUCAGUCUGAACAUGUCACCUCUACAAUAUUUCUAUGAUUAUAAUGUACAAUUAUCCUUUCUUUUCUUGUUCUCUGGCUUGCCAUUGUUUAAACAUUUCAC